rnacentral:rRNA from 4 species
GGGACACGUGGUAUCCUGUCUGAAUAUGGGGGGACCAUCCUCCAAGGCUAAAUACUCCUGACUGACCGAUAGUGAACCAGUACCGUGAGGGAAAGGCGAAAAGAACCCCGGCGAGGGGAGUGAAAAAGAACCUGAAACCGUGUACGUACAAGCAGUGGGAGCACCUUCGGGUGUGACUGCGUACCUUUUGUAUAAUGGGUCAGCGACUUAUAUUCUGUAGCAAGGUUAACCGUAUAGGGGAGCCGCAGGGAAACCGAGUCUUAACUGGGCGUUAAGUUGCAGGGUAUAGACCCGAAACCCGGUGAUCUAGCCAUGGGCAGGUUGAAGGUUGGGUAACACUAACUGGAGGACCGAACCGACUAAUGUUGAAAAAUUAGCGGAUGACUUGUGGCUGGGGGUGAAAGGCCAAUCAAACCGGGAGAUAGCUGGUUCUCCCCGAAAGCUAUUUAGGUAGCGCCUCGUGAACUCAUCUUCGGGGGUAGAGCACUGUUUCGGCUAGGGGGUCAUCCCGACUUACCAACCCGAUGCAAACUACGAAUACCGAAGAAUGUUAUCACGGGAGACACACGGCGGGUGCUAACGUCCGUCGUGAAGAGGGAAACAACCCAGACCGCCAGCUAAGGUCCCAAAGUCAUGGUUAAGUGGGAAACGAUGUGGGAAGGCACAGACAGCCAGGAUGUUGGCUUAGAAGCAGCCAUCAUUUAAAGAAAGCGUAAUAGCUCACUGGUCGAGUCGGCCUGCGCGGAAGAUGUAACGGGGCUAAACCAUGCACCGAAGCUGCGGCAGCGACACUAUGUGUUGUUGGGUAGGGGAGCG